rnacentral:misc_RNA from 1 species
AUUUAUGCGCAAUAAACAUGAAUGAUAAUCAAACAGAUGCAUGAAAAGACGAUAAAGAGAUAAAUUUUAUGAAAGAAGAGCCGAUCCUUCACAUUGAAAUUUUUAUGAUUAAGUAAAUCUUUGAAGUCCCAAAGUUGACCAGGAUGAAUUAUCAAAAGACCUACAUGAAUCACAUUCACUCCAGCUCUCUGCUAUAUCAGCUGGCCUCGAUGUGGAAAUCACAGACGUUGUGUGAUGCUAUCAUUCGAACUGGCAGCAUCAUUACAAAAGCUCACCGUGUGGUGCUGGUAGCUGCAUGUCCAAUGUUACAGUCCAUGGAGAAUGCUGCAGCAGGGUCCCAUUUAGAAGUACGACUAACUGCAGACAUCAAACAAGAAUCCAUCAACACAUUCCUGCAAUAUUUAUACGAAGGUUUCAUGACACUCACUGAAGAAAACUACAAAGACAUUGAAAAAAUCUCUAGGCUCCUUCAAGUGGAUAACGCCAUAAAAUGUUGUGCUGACUUUAUCAAAUGCAUUAAUUUGCCAUCAGGCAAUCAGUAUCGUUACAACUAUCCAGACCAGAUGGAAUUCAAACAUGUGAGAACCACAGAGCUUCAGAAAGUCCAAGACAGAAACCAGAAAAGGUCCACUGACAGACCAAUCAGCCCAGGCAGUAAGCGACCUAGAUUCCAAAGGCAGCCCAGUCCAAUGUCGGAUUCCCGUACCCACGACAUGUCUGGAAUGAAGGAAAGUUACACAGUUAACGAUCCUUGGGAUCGUGUACCGAGAUUGGGAUCACACUCAUCCACUCCCUCAUCUGUUCAUGUUCCUAGUCAACAGCCUGGUGUGAUUGAUAUUGUAGAAGACAGCAUCGAGUUAAUACAGACAGAGCCUCCAGGUAAACGACCAGGAGAAGAGGAGAGGGAGUUAAGAAAGGUACAGAGCACUGUGGGGGUGUCAGUGGCCAUCAGAAAUCUGCUUCAGAUUCCGCUCCAUUCAUUCCUAGUUCACCCUCUUCAUCAGAUUCAUCCUCUCUGAAAGAGAGACCCCCUCACUAUAGCAACCCUAUUUAUCCACCAAAGACUGAACCAGAAAAAUCAGCCAAAAAUCAAGAGCAGCUUUCGGAUGUUGAAGUUGCCACUCAGAGACCGCGCCCACCUGAAUUAGUAGCUGGAUCCCAGUCCACCCACCCUUAUCCCAUAUCUAUGACCACAUCAACCAGACCAUUAACCCAGAGUCUUCAGCAGAAGCCUUUUGCUGCAGGCAGUGCCAUGCAGGCAGAAUCUGUGUCCCCUGGUGCUGUACAGAGGGGCCCUAAACCACAGACGAUCAGUCGAGUGGAGAACACAGAGAAGGCCCCUCCCUUAGACAGGCCCCCUCGUGAUAUGGGGUCGCGGGUGAAAGAUCACAAUAACAGACUUUCCCCAGAUAUCAGCAUUGUGAAAGUUGAGAAUGAGUUGGGACCAGAGGAGACAGGAAUGUUAGACAUGUAUGUGUCUGAUGUGGGAGGGGGUGGGUCUGGUCAGUCCCACGGACAGAACGAUGAGGAUCAGAGUGAUUACGAUGUGGAGGAACCCCCAGGAGACAUGCACAGGGAUGAAAUGUCCAACGAAAGUGGCAACAUGAGUAUGGACCAGAGUGGAAACUGGUACAUGGGCAACUUUAGAGACAUUCAGGUACAGGAGCAUGCAGAUUCUCCAAGACCAGGAAUUAUGGAGGGCAGCAAAGCAAUGCAUUAUGGGAUGGUAGAGCUGGCACCCAACACCUCCGUCUAUCUGUACAGAAAGCAAUAUGAAACAGCGCUGAGUAAGAUCAAGUUUAAUGAGAAGACCCAGUCAAGGGAUGGAACUCCAGCAGCCAGAUAUCUACUGAGUACAUUCUAUGAUAAGUCGGAGCUCAUCAAUGCAACAAUAAGAAAUACAGAAGGCGACUAUAAUUUGUACCAAGGGUACACACCGCUGAACCGAGUCAUAAUAUACGCUAUAGAAGUGUUCUGUGUCCAGAAAUCAGACUCUUCAAUGACAGAUACCCACUCAGCUCUUGGAAGAAAAAUUACAGCUUAUAGAACAUUUGCCAGGAAUCGACUCCUCAGCAGAAGAAAAAGUUUUACCUGAUUGUCUCAUACCCCAAGCUUCCUGUUUUUAGAUGCAGAAUGACAGUGCACUUCAGUUUAAAAACAUAAACUGUUGAAUACAUUAGAAAAUAUGUCAUAAGGUGCUGAAUUGUUUUUAUCUUUGUUGUUGUAUUUCUAUUCCAAUUAGAAUUUGUUUUCU